UCAAGAAAAUAAACUUUUAUCCGUUCUCAUCAUUGGGAAAAACGUGUUUCGCGUUAUUUUAAAUAAUUAAUCGAUUUCUUAAAGACAAUUCCUUUUAAAGAAUUCCCAUAAAGAACAAUGAGAAACGGCGAAUGUCAUUGGCACGCACUAAUAAUAAUAAUAAUAAUAAUUUGUACAAUUCUUAAAAAAUUAAUAUUUAAAUAUUUUAAAUGACUUACGAAAAUAAUAUAAUCAAUUAAAAUAUUUAAAUUUUGAACUGUUUUAGUUUUUUUUCCCCUUCGAAAAACGUAAAAUCAUUUUGGAAUGACUAAGCCUAACAUGUCGUUUGUGCAGACAAUUGCCACAGUUGUUUGUUAUACAAAAACAUUGCGUAUAAAGUUUAUAAUAAUUGAAAUAAUAUUUGAAUUGUAAUAACAAAAAUUGCGUUUUAUUUUCAUUUUUAUAACGUUUAAAAAUAAUUACGACUCACCUAAACCAACAAUUUCGAACAGAACAAUCUCCCGCAUUCACACCAACUGUAGUGCCAUCUGUAGAAAAUCUUACGUCGUCACGUCAUGAAGAGUAAAAACGAUUAACCCAAUUUUCGAUGACUAUGGCACUUAAAUCAAGCUGAAUGAUGUUCGCUUUAAGGUAGUCAACAAUUAGUGAACUAAACAAGGGAUUUAAAGUGAACCCAUAAAAAGUAAUCCAUCGGAUUCAAGUCACAAAAUCGCGUGGGCAGUUAACAGCUGCCUUUCUCGAAAUAAUCUUGUCACUAAACUUCGACUUCAACAGUGCAAUCAUAUCGUGGGUUUUGAUAAUAAAUAAUUUCAACACAUUGA